UAGUCCACGCCGUAAACGAUGAUCACUCGAUAUUGGCGAUAAAAUGUCAGUGUCUAAGAGAAAUUGAUAAGUGAUCCACCUGGGGAGUACGAUCGCAAGGUUGAAACUCAAAGGAAUUGACGGGGGCCCGCACAAGCGGUGGAGCAUGUGGUUUAAUUCGAUGAUACGCGAGGAACCUUACCAGGGCUUAAAUGCAGAACGACCGCUUGGGAAACCAGGCUUUCUUCGGACGGUUUGCAAGGUGCUGCAUGGUUGUCGUCAGCUCGUGCCGUGAGGUGUCGGGUUAAGUCCCAUAACGAGCGCAACCCCUAUUUCUAGUUGCUAGCAGGUAAUGCUGAGGACUCUAGAGAAACUGCCAGCGUAAGCUGCGAGGAAGGUGGGGAUGACGUCAAAUCAUCACGGCCCUUACGCCUGGGCUACACACGUGCUGCAAUGGUCGUGACAAGAGUUGCUAGUCUGCGAAGGCAAGCCAAUCUCAUAAACGCGGCCCU
rnacentral:rRNA from 1 species